rnacentral:lncRNA from 1 species
UGGGGGCUUCAUUGAGUUUUUCCUUUCUUUCUUUAAACUUACUUUCAUUAAUAUUCUUUCAAGUUUCUUGGGGUGAGAAACUUGGGUUGGUCCAAGCCUUGAAUUGGAUGCUUGUAGUGGUUUGAUUGGUAAGCCAAGGUUAAAAUAAAUUAGGAUUGAUUGUUAGUCCAGAAAAAUAAUCAUUGUACAAUUGUGAUUGGAGAGUCAAGAUUAAAACUAAUUGGGUUG